rnacentral:rRNA from 1 species
GACAGAGGUGCCAAGCGUUAGGCGGAAUCACUGGGCUUAAAGCGUGUGUAGGUGGAUUUGUAAGUACCUUGUGAAAUCCCAUGGCUCAACCAUGGAACUGCUCGGUAUACUGCGAAUCUUGAGCCACGUUAGGGCUACCGGAACGAAAUGUGGAGCGGUGAAAUGCGUAGAUAUCAUUUGGAACGCCAAUGGUGAAAACAGGUAGCUGGGAGUGUGCUGACACUGAGACACGAAAGCCAGGGGAGCGAACGGG